GCUGGUCAAGCUUACACAAAGGCACUUGAGGUUGCCAGGAAUAUCAAUGAGAAGGGGACCAAUGUGGUUCUGAUUUGAUGUAAAUAGGCACCCGCACCACAGCUCGACGGCAAGUCUCGCAACGAUACUUUCGAUCUUGACUUUGAAGAAUGACUUCAAGCAGUUAGAAGG